rnacentral:rRNA from 1 species
CAAAACCAAAAUUAACAAUCCGUGAAACUAUAACAAAACCAAAAUGAAUGGGUUCGCGUGACAUUACUUUGUUUGAAUGCACGUACUCAGCCAAUACCAAUUCCACGUAAUUUUAACCAUAUUAACCCAUUACUGUAACGAUCUUUUCACUUGUGUCAAGAGCGUACUAAAACAAAAGCGUGUCAUUACUUAAUUGAAUGCAUGCACCAUUUUAUUCUAAAACAGAGAAAUACAACUCUUAACAAUGGAUAUCUUGGCUCUCGUAACGAUGAAGAACGCAGCGAAAUGCGAUACGUAAUGCGAAUUGCAGAAUUCAGUGAAUCAUCAAAUCUUUGAACGCAAAUUGCGCUCUCGGGAUAGGCCCAAGAGCAUGCCUCGCUGAGUAUCAGUUUAACCAAAUCUCGACUUCGAGUCGGAAUAUGAGGUGUCGCCAUUUAUGUCCAAGACUGGUCUCGUCUAGACUUGGACAUGCAUGUGGCGUCCCUUGAAAUUCAGAAAGCCCUAAUACUGUCUCUGCAUUUCUAAUGCGAGUUGGUUCUCAUUAAGACCGUUUGUUUGUUGUCUGCUGUCUCUUACAAAGUUUUUUGACAUCACGGGAAACACGUGGCGUGGAUAUGUUGUAGAAGUAAAUGUCGACAGACAUUUGCAUCGAUAUGCACUUGAAACACUAUAUGUAGUACUGAGAAGUCAUUUGUUUGAUUAAGCAAUUACGAUGACUCGAAAUGGUUGAGUUCGACAACUUAGUAGCAGCAUAGGCGCCAAAACAAUCAUGACUGUGUCAACGAGUCUCGUACUCGAUGA